UACGUAGGGGGCAAGCGUUGUCCGGAAUCAUUGGGCGUAAAGCGCGUGUAGGCGGCCCGAUAAGUCCGCUGUGAAAGUCCAGGGCUCAACCCUGGAAUGCCGGUGGAUACUGUCGGGCUCGAGUCCGGAAGAGGCGAGUGGAAUUCCUGGUGUAGCGGUGAAAUGCAUUGAGAUCGGAAAGAACACCAACGGCGAAAGCACUCUGCUGGGCCGACACUGACACUGAGAGACGAAAGCUAGGGGAGCAAAUGGG
rnacentral:rRNA from 1 species